UACGUAGGGGCCUAGCGUUGUCCGGAAUCAUUGGGCGUAAAGAGCUCGUAGGCGGUUCGGCAAGUCACGUGUGAAAUCUCCACGCUUAACGUGGAGGCGCCACGUGAAACUGCCGUGACUCGAGUCCGGUAGGGGAGUGUGGAAUUCCCGGUGUAGCGGUGAAAUGCGCAGAUAUCGGGAGGAACACCAGUAGCGAAGGCGGCACUCUGGGCCCGGUACUGACGCUGGAGGAG
rnacentral:rRNA from 1 species